rnacentral:lncRNA from 1 species
UGGCGACAAUCAAUAUCUGCCAAAAAUUAUCAUCUCAAUCUUCAUCUCUCUCUGACCAAAAAAAAAAAAAAAAAAAUCUUCAUCUCUCUCUGAUAAAAAAAAAAAAAAAACUGUCAUCGCUCAUGUCAUGGUGGGUCAUGCAUGAUCUGGUGCAUUGAAUAAUGCUCAAAUCUUCAUCUCCUUUUUCAGAGCUAAGUCAGAUUUUCUUUCCAUAACAAUUCUCAAAAAGAGAAAAAAAAAGAAAAGAAUAAUCAAUACUGACAAUAAUAUAGAAAAAUUAUGCAGAAAAGGAGUUGCUUAUCCGGAGUCCUUAUCGGCAUUAGCCUCCGGCGAUGUUAGAUGCGUCGAUAGAGACAUUCGAGCUGAUAUUUGUCGUUCGCUUAUGCAAGGUUUCUGGUUAAAAAUCCUGAAUAAUCAACAGUAAUAGAGAUGAGUUAUGCAAGCAAAGAGUUGCUUAUUCAGGAUCCUUUUCAGCAUUAGCCUCCGACGAGGUUUGACGUGUCGGCAUACACAUUCAAGCUGAUACGAGGUUUCUGGUUAGAAAUCCUGCUUCGAAAUUCAACCCGAUUAUUCUACCCGUUCAGCAAGCUUGCCUGCCCUGCGCACAAGCAAAUACAUACGAACAUGCGUGCUGCACAUGCAUGACAUAAACGAUACGAAAGCACAAGAGGAACCCGAGAUCUAUUUGCUAGACCCGUUAAACGGGUGGGCCGGGUCGGGUUUGGGUCGGGUCAUAAAUGGUCCGAUCCAAAUCGACCCAUUUAACCCGUUUAUGACCCAUUUAUUAUAGUGCAAAUUUUUUGACCCUUACCCGAUCCGAUCUAUACCCAACCCAUACCCGACCCAUUUAACGAAACAUAAAAAAGCUUAUAUAUAUAUAUUUUAAAAUGGUAUUGCUAACAUGAUUUUAUACAAUACAAAUUUUAAAAAUAAUUAUUUAAAAAAAUCGAAUUUUAAUUAUUUUUUAUUUUUAAAAAUUAAUUUUUUUAUUAUUUUUAUUAUUUUUUAAUUUCUUUUUCUCUUUUCUCUUUUCUCUUUUCUCUUUUCUUUUUUAUUUUUUAUGUUUUCUUCUU